rnacentral:rRNA from 1 species
UACGUAGGGGGCUAGCGUUGUUCGGAAUUACUGGGCGUAAAGCGCGCGUAGGCGGAUUUGUAAGUCAGGGGUGAAAUCCCGGGGCUCAACCUCGGAACUGCCUUUGAUACUGCAAGUCUUGAGUCCGAUAGAGGUGAGUGGAAUUCCUAGUGUAGAGGUGAAAUUCGUAGAUAUUAGGAAGAACACCAGUGGCGAAGGCGGCUCACUGGAUCGGUACUGACGCUGAGGUGCGAAAGCGUGGGGAGCAAACAGG